GUGAAAAUGACGAGACGAAUUAGUAACCAAUGAUUUGUUUUCAGAAACUGAGUGGUUGUUGAAAACUCGGAGCAAAUUAUGGUGAACUCAUCGUCGAAUACUUGGUUGAACAGAGUAACCCGAGUCGGUUAAUCGCCGUUAUCGAUCUUGAGAGCCUGGCAUCCACGGUCGAUGCUGGGAAUAUAGGUGGUACCGCGAUUAAUCGUCCUAUAG
rnacentral:ncRNA from 1 species